rnacentral:rRNA from 1 species
UACGUAGGGUGCGAGCGUUAAUCGGAAUUACUGGGCGUAAAGCGUGCGCAGGCGGUUCGUUGUGUCGGUGGUGAAAUCCCCGGGCUUAACCUGGGAACUGCAGUCGAGACUGUCUAGCUAGAGUAUGGGAGAGGGAAGUGGAAUUUCAGGUGUAGCGGUGAAAUGCGUAGAUAUCUGAAGGAACAUCAGUGGCGAAAGCGACUUCCUGGACCAAUACUGACGCUCAUGUGCGAAAGCGUGGGGAGCAAACAGG